rnacentral:rRNA from 1 species
CGUAGGGCGCGAGCGUUGUCCGGAUUUAUUGGGCGUAAAGAGCUCGUAGGCGGCUUGUUGCGUCGGCUGUGAAAACCCGCGGCUUAACCGCGGGCUUGCAGUUGAUACGGGCAGGCUAGAGUUCGGUAGGGGAGACUGGAAUUCCUGGUGUAGCGGUGAAAUGCGCAGAUAUCAGGAGGAACACCGGUGGCGAAGGCGGGUCUCUGGGCCGAUACUGACGCUGAGGAGCGAAAGCGUGGGGAGCGAACAGG